rnacentral:snRNA from 1 species
AUACUUACCUGGCAGGGGAGAUACCAUGAUCAUGAAAGUGGUUCUCCCAGGGCGAGGCUCAUCCAUUGCACUGCGGAUGUGCUGACCCCAACGAUUUCCUCAAAUGCCGGAAACUUGACUGCAUAAUCUGUGGUAGUGGGGGACUGCAUUCACACUCUCCCCUG